GGCUGGUCUGAAGGUAGUGAGUCACCUCAGUUGUGGUUCAGCCAGUUACAGAUCAACCUCCUUGUCCUCCUCUUUCUCCCCUUCCCACUACUAUACUUGACUAAUCUUAA
rnacentral:Y_RNA from 1 species